rnacentral:rRNA from 1 species
GACCUACGGGACGCAGCAGUGGGGAAUAUUGGGCAAUGGGCGCAAGCCUGACCCAGCAACGCCGCGUGAAGGAAGAAGGCUUUCGGGUUGUAAACUUCUUUUAAGAGGGAAGAGAAGAAGACGGUACCUCUUGAAUAAGCCACGGCUAACUACGUGCCAGCAGCCGCGGUAAUACGUAGGUGGCAAGCGUUGUCCGGAUUUAUUGGGUGUAAAGGGUGCGUAGACGGGAAAUUAAGUUAGUUGUGAAAUCCCUCGGCUUAACUGAGGAACUGCAACUAAAACUGAUUUUCUUGAGUACUGGAGAG